UCCGUAGCCGGCCCUUCAAGUCUCUUGUUAAAUCCAGCGAUUCAAUCGUUGGACUGCAGGAGAUACUGCUGGGCUAGAGGGCGGGAGAAGCCGACGGUAUUCCCGGUGUAGGGGUAAAAUCCUAUAAUCCCGGGAAGACCACCAGUGGCGUAGGCGGUCGGCUAGCACGCGCUUGACGGUGAGGGACGAAAGCUGGGGGAGCGAACCGGAUUAGAUACCCGGGUAGUCCCAGCUGUAAACGAUGCGGGCUAGGUGUUGGAGCGGCUACGAGCCGCUUCAGUGCCGCAGGGAAGCCAUUAAGCCCGCCGCCUGGGGAGUACGGCCGCAAGGCUGAA
rnacentral:rRNA from 1 species